CUUUAAUGGAGAGUUUGAUCCUGGCUCAGGACGAACGCUGGCGGCGUGCCUAAUACAUGCAAGUCGAGCGGGUUUUACCUUCGGGUAAA
rnacentral:rRNA from 1 species